UACGUAGGGGGCAAGCGUUGUCCGGAUUUAUUGGGCGUAAAGAGCGUGUAGGCGGCCAUACAGGUCAGCUGUGAAACUCGAGGCUCAACCUCGAGACGUCGGUUGAAACCGUAUGGCUAGAGUCCGGAAGAGGAGAGUGGAAUUCCCGGUGUAGCGGUGAAAUGCGCAGAUAUCGGGGAAGAACACCUAUGGCGAAGGCAGGUCUCUGGGCUGACACUGACGCUCAUGCACGAAAGCGUGGGGAGCAAACAGG
rnacentral:rRNA from 1 species